rnacentral:lncRNA from 1 species
UCGCUUUAAGAUCCCCUUAAGGAACGUAAUAUGGAUUCCUGAGUCACAAAAACUCACGUUUCUAUCUACCCUUACCGCGCAUACUUAUUGGAUUUUUGAACAUGUUAUCUUAUUGGCUAAUUUCAACAAACCUCUUUCUUGAUGAAGAUCUUUCCAAUUCAGAUUUAAUCAGUCCACUCCUCGUAUCUUGCACGUAACAGCAGAUCCUGCUGACAUAACCUAACCGCAGAAACCGAACAAGAUCUGUCAUUUUUAUAUACGGCCUCGCCACGAGAUGGACUUACUUCUCGUAAGAAGAAAACAUCCAGGAAUCCUACAAGAAUUGGCUUUUCACUCCAGUAUAUACAAUAUAAAUAUACAAGGUGGCAUGAAUAUAUGGCCCUACUCGUCCCAAACUUUUUACAAAGAUGGCUUAUAUCCGAAAUGAUCUAUAUAAAACAGCAAAAAAAUGAUUUAAAUUUAAAAAAUGAUAUUGAUCUGUUAGAUUCUGCAUACUUAGAUAUAUUAUUUACAACAUGAGAUUUUCUCCCUCUCCACAAUAAUUAUUUCGUACAAAAAACAUCGAUUGUUUAUCCCCACAUAUCGAACAGAUAACAACAGACUAACAUAGCUUAAUAUGGAUCUAUAUAUUGGACGAAGGAACACAGGCUUGACGCAUUGAUAAUCUGUAAGAACUAUGUAAUAUGAAAAAGCGACUUAAUUGUAAUUUUAAUUCUUAAUUCUUGACGAAAGCGUUAAUUUGAAUAGCAUUGAAGAUGACCCUAAACAAAGAAUCGAAAUGUUUGCGUAAUUAAUCUUUUAUAUAUACUUGAAUAAAUACAUACACACCAAUAGUA